rnacentral:rRNA from 1 species
AUUGAACGCUGGCGGCAUGCCUUACACAUGCAAGUCGAACGGUAACAGGUCUUCGGAUGCUGACGAGUGGCGGACGGGUGAGUAAUACAUCGGAACGUGCCCGAUCGUGGGGGAUAACGAGGCGAAAGCUUUGCUAAUACCGCAUACGAUCUACGGAUGAAAGCGGGGGAUCUUCGGACCUCGCGCGGACGGAGCGGCCGAUGGCAGACUAGGUAGUUGGUGGGAUAAAAGCUUACCAAGCCGACGAUCUGUAGCUGGUCUGAGAGGAUGAUCAGCCACACUGGGACUGAGACACGGCCCAGACUCCUACGGGAGGCAGCAGUGGGGAAUUUUGGACAAAGGGCGAAAGCCUGAUCCAGCCAUGCCGCGUGCAGGAUGAAGGCCUUCGGGUUGUAAACUGCUUUUGUACGGAACGAAAAGCCUCUUUCUAAUAAAGAGGGGUCAUGACGGUACCGUAAGAAUAAGCACCGGCUAACUACGUG